rnacentral:rRNA from 1 species
UACGAAGGGGGCUAGCGUUGCUCGGAAUUACUGGGCGUAAAGGGCGCGUAGGCGGCCUUCUAAGUCAGACGUGAAAUCCCCCGGCUUAACCUGGGAACUGCGUCUGAUACUGGGAGGCUAGAGUAUGGGAGAGGGAUGUAGAAUUCCAGGUGUAGCGGUGAAAUGCGUAGAUAUCUGGAGGAAUACCGGUGGCGAAGGCGGCAUCCUGGACCAUUACUGACGCUGAGGCGCGAAAGCUAGGGGAGCAAACGGG